AGAAAGAUGUUUAACACCCAAAAGCAAAUUCAAUACACUUUCGGACAUUACAAAUAAAGGAUAUACACUUUUAUUGUAACCUACGUAAACUUAAAAGUUUUGUUAUUGGAUAUAUAUGGUUACAAAUUAUCUUUGAAAUUAGGAUGACUUGUGACUACACAUAUAACACCAAAUCAAUUUAGAAAGCACUGAUUGGUAGACUACUGAUUGACAAAUGAAUUUAGUUUGAAAAGAAUGUAUGAUUUAUUUAUUAGUAAUAAUUGACUUGAGAACUUAACUAAGAACCAAGAAACUGUGUGUACUCUUAUAUUGGUUAUUUUUUAUUUGUGUCAUUUUGUCUUCGCGCCAGUCUGAUAAGUCAACCAAUUUCAAAUAACGUGUAUAGUUUAGUCUUAUCUUGUGCUGUUUCAUUGUUGUCUAUGGUUUAAUGAAGACAUGGAUGAGUUUCACUCUCAUCAACAUGACAUAUUCCAUGUGUCUGUCCAAAUCCAGAGCCUGUAUUUAAUAAACUGUCGUUGAUUGUGUUUGACCCUAUUUUUGGCAUGAGUUUUUUAAUUGUUUCAUAAUUUUGCAUGAGAAAGGACUUAUUUUUAGCUAUAUUUUAUGUGUUUAAUUUAUCGCUAAAAAUCUUUUAUUGACAAGCAGUUUUCUUUCACAUUAUCAUUUUGUCUCUAGUUGACCGUUAUCCAAUUUUCCAACUGAUUUUUUUUCGCUGUGGUGAAGACACAUUGAUGUCCUUCGGCUGUUAUCGGCUUUUUAUCGGGUUGUUCUCCCUUUUACAUAUAACACAUAUCCCAUUUCCCUUCAUUAUUUUAUACCACAUCUCUAUAUUUCUAAAUCAAAUACAAAUACGGUGUUUGUUCGGUCCAAAUAAAAUUGACCUUUUUAAGUGUAGUGAAGAUGAAAAAGAGGCUCAAAAUGCAAAAAGAUUCGAAGUAAAAAAAAAAAGAAAAAAUGGGGGUUUUACAUAUUCACAAAAUUUGCCAAGAUCUGAUACAUCGUCAAAGUAAGCUUCUCCUGUAAUGGAAGAUAUAUUUUAUUGUUGUUAUAAUAUCAUACUUGAUUAUAUCUAUAACAAAAGUUGUAUCUCUAGAAAAAUGAAUGUGCUAGCGACUAUGGAUUUUAGAAUGUAAUGCUAAUCAAAUUGAAGAAUAAAAUAAGUAAAAC
rnacentral:lncRNA from 1 species